CGUUGCAAGCAAAUCACUCGUGCGAGCGAAUGAUUUCUGAGAGCACUCGCAAUUGCAGUCACACGUAGCAGUUUUUUACUUUAAGCAAAUGUCUGAUUUACUCUCAUGCAAAUAUAAACAAAAACGAAAAACUUGUUUUUCGGCCACAAAAUCUAAUUUCAUUCCUAUUUUUGCAAUGCAACACUGCCACCUGAAAACGUUUUCACUUUUGCGAGCGAAAAAUUUGCUAGUGCUGCACUAGCAAGCGCGAUUUCGUUUCUGCGAGUUGAAAAUUUUUAACGCUUAGCAGUCACACAUUGCAAGCAAGCGUUUGCUUACGAGUUGUCAUUUGUUUGCAUGCAAUCACUUUCAGUGUAGUCAGACAGGCAAAUUUUUGACAGUUGUCACUUUCUGCGAGCAAAAUGCUCGUUGCGAGUGAUUUGCUUGCAACGUCUGACGGCACCUUACUUAUCUUUUCUACAUCGUUGAAACGCGCGAAUAAGUAGAGUUCCACGUGGACAACGGGUGGAGCGAAUUUCACUAGUUUCCCAGUUAGCUGACCAGCUUGUAACGGUUCGUCGGAGAGAUUAGGCGUAACAGGGGUCGAUCGUACGAUUAGAAGGGAGAAACAGGUCUAGGAAAUACCAAAUCUUUGAGCUGCAAUUACCAGAAGCUGCUGGAAGAUUGUUUUUACCUAUUCCAACAAUCUCAAAGAUUUGCUCCGAUGAACGAAACAACGGUAAGCUACGAUUGUGGGGCAUGCGAUCGACCCAAUUCCGCCGAGGCGAAGAUGGUCAAAUGCGAAAGCUGCGAAACAUGGUUCCAUCUUAGUUGUGCUGGAGUAUCGCCGGGAGUUGAAAAGCGGUCGUGGAUUUGUGCGAAUUGUACCCCGCUAAUGCCAGUUGCAUCUGCGGCCACGAAAUUAAAAACAAAAGAAGCUGCGUUGCAAGUAGGAGCGAAAAAGGGUAGCCGAAAAUUGUCAGUAAAGUCGGACGCUGGAAUCACGAAUUCAUCAUUUUGGUUGAAACUAAGGCACCGCAUCUCGUCUGCUGUUUAAGGUGGAAGUAUCGUAGACUCCACGACAACGAAACUUUGUUCAACGUCCAACAUCAGAAUGUGAACGAUUCAUUCCUAAAUUAGAUCCUGGGUUAGAUGGUGCCAACAUACCGGAAUUUAGAACGGAGUCCAACAUGCGGGGGAGGAGGAACGCUAAGACUAAACCAAAGCGACAACAUGCAGGGCAAAUGGUUUAAUAAAACAACAUUGAUGAUCAGAUUGUAUUAAGGCAGAUCAUUUUUAGCAGAAAA